UACGUAGGGGGCUAGCGUUGUCCGGAAUCAUUGGGCGUAAAGCGCGCGUAGGCGGUCAGGUAAGUCCGGUGUGAAAGUCAAAGGCUCAACCUUUGAAUGCCGCUGGACACUGCUUGACUUGAGUCCGGAAGGGGCGAGUGGAAUUCCUGGUGUAGCGGUGAAAUGCGUAGAUAUCUGGAGGAACACCGGUGGCGAAGGCGACAUCCUGGACCAACACUGACGCUGAGUGAGCGAAAGCCAGGGGAGCAAACGGG
rnacentral:rRNA from 1 species